ensembl:lncRNA
GUCAGGUCUAUGUUUAGUAAUAGUAAUAGACUAUUGAAGUCAGUCUUUAGUCAGGUCUAUGUUUAGUAAUAGUAAUAGACUAUUGUUUGUUGGGGGUAAUUGCCUGGUUACUGCAACAUUCAGUCGUGUUUCACCAAGCUAUGAUCCUAACUACCUUCUCUGUCUUCCCUUCACUGACAUUGUUUCAAUACAUGGCAUCUGGUUGCCUGUUGAUGUCCAAAUGUCCGGAGCACAUCCCUGUAACGUCUGUGCCUCAUCUAUGAAACAUGUGAUCCAGUACUAAUCAACGGUUGUCACCUCAGUAAAUAGCCAAGCUGAUAAAUGGGUCAUUAGUAAGUGAGUCAACAGGCAGCACUGGGUUAUAUGACACAGCUGAAGCUGGCAGACAAGAAACAGGGUGAGAUUUGAAUCUGAAGCGAAACAUCCGUAUUUUGAAAAGUAGACCUUUCGACUAACAGUUCAGAUACAGCCUGAUGUUUGCCCAAGAACCUCCUGAUUAUCCUAGUCCAGCACACAGAGGAGGAUCCCAGGCAGUGAAUCCAUGUCAAGGGGAUCUAAACCACAUCUCGCAUAGCUUCCCAAAUUGCCAGCUCAGGUUGUCUCAUCCAAGAGAAAACUGGGUGAAAACGGUAGCGGGCGUCAAGGCAGAAAGUACCAAGGCGUACUGGUGUGGAGGAAGCUUUUAAAAUAGUGUGAUGUGGUCCGUUGGUGGCUUCUCCUGGAGGGUGUGAGGACAGUGGUCGACUCCAUUACCCUCAGGGCUUGUUAAUACUCCUGGGAUCUGGGAUGAUGCUGCAACACCAACCCGUGCUCAAGGUUUGCCCAAAUUACCAAGUAAUGUACUACAUUUGUUCCCUAACCUGUAAAGCAGUCUGUUAAACCCGGAGACAGACACAAUCCAUGCUUUGGUUUUCUCUGUUUGGCUGCUGCCAUAAAAGGCUUAUCCUCAACUGCUUGAAGUAACUUAGAUUAGGGACAACUAUUGUCCUAGAUGUAUCAUACUCAUGGGCAAUCGGUUGCCCGAGGAGAUGAACCAUUUUUCAUUACAUUUGUUCUGUUAUGUCUUUUAGGUUUUAUUCAAUUCAAUAGAUUUUGAGAAAGGAGGAUCUGUCAACAGAUAAUGACGUACUGUAAAAUAUCUUUGUAAGUGGGGCUGAGAUAAUGAUGUGGACGGUUGUUGAUUUAUACGGAUUAGCAUCACAUCCCACUUAUGAUCCUUUUAAAAACGUAAAGUCUGUGUGUUAGGUCCUUUGGGGGAUGGCUGUCCCAUUGAGACCAACAUCAUAACAUCUGGGUACGGUCUUCGGAGGGCGCUGACCCUGUGUGAACUAGAAGAUCUGAGGGAGUGGGCUGUUCGGCUUCCUCUUCUGCCUCUGCUAGAUACCUCUGUCUCUGUGGACAUUCCAGCAUGUCCGUCACUCCAGACACCAGAUUUUUAAUAUGUAAAACAGACCUGGGGCCUCCCUGAUCUCUGGGGUAGCUAGACAAGGCUUUGCAUCAGAACAGCAGGCAGCUAUCUAAGCUCUUUUAGAGGAAUUGUAAUCGCUGUUAGGAAAGUGUUUUGCAUAUUUUGUGGCAGUGAAGCCAUUUGAAUGCAAUAAGCUAGGAAUAGUACUGGCUUCUUUUUCUCUGUCUGUGUGAGGGGGUGAGUUAGUCUCUCUGUGUCAAUGUUUUUGUCAUUGUGUUUGUGUGAUCACGCUCAGAUAAUUGGCAGACCCCCAUUAGGUGGCGCGUGUGUGUGUGUCAUGUACUGGUACCAAGGCUUCUUUUCUGUGUUCCAGGGUUUUCUGCAUUUCACAGCGCAAUGUUGUUUUCUCCUGAAGCACCAGUUCAGACUGCACUCAAUUAAAUCUCAAUAGCCCCCCCCCCAAAACACACACUCACACACAUUCACCUGGAGGCCAAGCUGCUCUCAGCAGUACUCCUCCACAUCACCAGUGAAUUAUAAUAACCCAGCAACUGGGUGAUACUGGAUGACCAGCUGGUAGCCUAGCGCUAAAAAUGUGUAGGCCAGGAAGGGAAAGGUCAGUAGAUCUGAUCCUGGAGCCAGCAAGGUAAAUACACAAACUAUGUAGCAGCUGGCCACGCCCCUGGACAUCCUAUGUAGCAGAUGGCCACACCCCUGGGCACCCUAUGUAAUAGCUGGCCACACCCCUGGGCACCCUAUGUAAUAGCUGGCCACGCCCCUGGGCACCCUAUGUAGCAGAUGGCCACACCCCUGGGCACCCUAUGUAAUAGCUGGUCACACCUCUCCAAUUUGGUACAGAUGCAAUACGUCUCUAUUGUCAACAGUGUUGAGGCUUCAUUACACCAAAACAAUGCAUAGAGAAGAUUUUAGUAACCUUGAGUAUAACAACACAAAUCUUUAAAAUGAAAAGUAUACUAUUUUAAAUAUGGAUGUUUGUUGGUUCUUCAACCUUAAAUUAAUCCCAGGGGACAAGAGAAACUGUAAUCCAUGGUUUGUUUUUCUAAGCCAUUACAAACUUAAAUUACAGGUUCUAACAUGCAACUAGAAGUUGGAAAUUCUCAGUAUAGAGUAUCACCUCUUAUAUCUACACAGAGUAUCACCUCUUAUAUCUACACAGAGUAUCACCAUUUAUAACUACAGAGUAUCACCAUUUAUAACUACAGAGUAUCGCCACUUAUAUCUACACAGAGUAUCACCAUUUAUAACUACAGAGUAUUACCAUUUAUAUCUACACAGAGUAUCACCACUUAUAUCUACACAGAGUAUCACCAUUUAUAACUACAGAGUAUCACCACUUAUAUCUACACAGAGUAUCACCAUUUAUAUUUACACAGAGUAUCAUCACUGCUUAUGUUUGGCCAUAAUAACUGCCCACUUUAUCUGCAAGCAUAUGUGAGGUGCUAGUUAAAUAGUCACUGAAAGUUAAAUAGUAAAUAAAAGGAUUUCAUCACUCAAUGGAGGAUUUCAGUAACAGGAAUGAUAUGAACACCUAGUCUCACAAGGUCUUAUUCAAUUGUUGUAAUUCCUAAUCCUAGGAAGAAUCCAGUCAGUGUCCAUUUUGUUUCUAUUUACCGAACAGCCUCCAUACGUCAAAAUGUGGCCCACAUCGGCAACAACUCAGUGUGACAUCAAAUUCACUAGGGGUCACCUGACUUCUACCUAUGUAGCACAUAACUGGCAUCUGAACAACGUAUUUAGCAGGACGUGCCUUCACCAAACACACAUUGUUGGAGGAAGCCAUCAUUACACUGAACGGAAAGGCUGUCUGCAGAUUGUGAUCGCUCCAAACAACACGCUGCACGUUUUCUCUGUCUCCACAGGAAACUGUUGAAGAUGACUUCAACUGCCUCCCCUGUGACCAAAUUCACCACAGUGUCAUCCAAUGCCACCACCACCACCAAGUCCAGAGAACAAAUACUCACACAGAGCUCAGGGGCUAUGAUUGCCCUCAUCGUCGUGGCGAUCAUUAUCGUUCUAACCAUCCUGCUCGUUAUCCUAAAGACGUACAACAGGCGCACUCAUGUGUCCAGAGUGUUAGGAACCGUCUCCAAAGUUCCACCACGUCCAAAAAUGGCUUCUUCCUCUACAAUCCAUACCAGCAUGCCCUUGGGAAACCUACAAGACGGCUCUGCAUCCAGAAGCUUUGCUCAUUCAAAUAUUGAGUCUGGAAAUGGAUUCCGGCUACCUCGAGCUGAACUAAACAGCCUGGAGGAAAACAACUUGGAGCAGCAGAGUACAGUCAGCGAUUCGACAGUGGUCACCAUACAUGAUCCACCGUCAAUAGGAAAUACAUAGCAGAUCUCUAGCAUGUUGGACACAUGGUGAAGUCUGCAUGCUAUGUUGGAAAACAAAUAUGAACAAAGUGCAUAGGGAAGCAAUGGACACUAAGAUGGACAUAAACAUAUGCAUUUUUGACUACAGUGUUCAGGACUUGAAAAGAAUGAUUCUCCCCUCAGUGCAUUUGGGGCAGUGCAACCAACUUGAACUUGUCCUUGCUAAUUCUACUGUUGUGUUUCUGUCAAAGGUAGAUGUUGACACAUUCUUUAAUGAAUUCAGUUUAUUCUUAUGCAAGGUUUUUUUUAACAACGUCGUGGUUAUGGUUUUCACCAUACAGGGAAAAAUCAUGACAGUGUUUCGGAGAAAUGUCGAUACUGAACCACUGUGGAACUCCGGAAAGCAGACAGUUAUGAAUUUAUAAGUCCUAAUUAGUUUUAUAUCAAAUGAUUUUGCACUUUACACUAUCCAGUUUGUUUUGUUGGGUUUCUGACAAAAUAAAUGUUGAUAGUUCUAAUAUUGUGUGCAUGUUUCUACUACUAGGCUUUAAUGCAAUAUCCAAAUAAAAAGACAAUUCUUAUUUAUCCCCAAAGUUGGAAUAUUUAAAGCUUUGGAAAUGUAAUUUGCCACCAGAAAAACCUUUUCUUCAUCACUACUGUGAAAUAUUCCUGGAUUCUGAUGUUUUUUUGUCAAGAAAAGUUACUCUUGAAGGGGCUGUAUCGAACCUUCAGUACUGACACAAAUUUAGUAAAUAGAACAGACAAUAAUGGAGCUUCUAUAAAGCCGGGAAACAGCAUCCCUGUUGAUGACAGGAUUGUAUACGUAAUUACAUGCACACAAUGUAACCUUGGGUCACUGUAGCAAGCAGGUCCUGGGCCCUUAACAGGCAAGCAGUCAAACAGAAACCAGAGUUCCAAAAAGUGUAUUACCUGGCUCAAUAAACAGAAAAGUACAAAACUACUGACAUUUGAUGCCUCAGUGGGUAGACGGUAACACCAGCUUUGUAACUCGGACCAGGUCCUACCCAGUCCGUUUGCUUAGCUACUCUCACACGCUACCGUCCAAACUCCAGGAGUCCACCAACACUGCAGCAUGAAGCACAGAGCAAUGUUUUCCCGUGACCAAAAUGGAGCGGCUAAAUCCCCUGACCCGUGCCACCCCCAUACUGUUCCAACCAAUACCAUAUGCCCCAAAUGGGUUCCAUCCACUUGGCUAGAGGACAGAUUUCUUCAGUUCCUGGCUGAGGUUCCUGUUUUAAACAUCAAGGUAAAUUCACAGCUGUAUGUGCACAUACAAGCGGUUUCAUGCUUUUUCAAUCCAUGUCUCCCAUUCUGGAAAAGGGUUGGUGACGCUUCCUCUGAUCUUCGACUUGCACACUUUCAUCCAACAAGUUCCACUGAUUGAGCCGAGACAUGAAAAGCUUGGCACUGGACUUGGUGAGACCGAGAUCUAGAAUCAAGUCGUUGAGUUCUUUUUGGUUGGGGUAGUGUGGGUGUUUCUCCUCAGCUCCACCUCUGAAAUUCUCAUCUGGAUCUACAACGUCUUCCUCACUCCCGGAAUUGCUGCUUUCUUCUAUAUAUGGCUGGUCUCUCUUGGGAGGGGUGGGUACGGGGGAGCUCAUGGCAGUGAGGCACCGGGGCGAGGGAUGAAGGAAGGUCCGGAGACAUGAUAGCAGGUGCGUUCUUGCCAGUCCGACGUUUGGAGGGGUCCACCACGCAGAAGUGGCAGUUGCUGGAGUGGUCAAUGGGUUCCCGCCAAGUUCUUGGGAUAGCAAACUUCCUAGCUCUCUUUUCCCCUCAAUACCAUCCUACAGAAAUACAUUUAUUUCACCCAUGACUAAUGUGUGAGAGAUUCUCACAAAAUGUUUGCAUAUUAUAUAUUUUUUCAAUAACACUGAAAAUUGUAAAACAUUUUUAAAUUAAACUGAUAAUUUAAAUGUUUUUACAAAUUUUGUAACAAAAUUGCAAGCAACAAUUGUCCCUACCACCUUCCAGAGUUUUUUUGCAGUGCUCGCAGGUGAAAUGAGGUGCCCAGGGUUUGUCUGGAUUCCCGACAGGCAUGCCAAAAUAUGCCUUGUAGGCCUCACACAUCCUAGCAGAUGCUUCCACCAAGUACUUUUUCGUUCUUGUCUUGAUAAAUUGGCCGCAGACAUAGCGAAAUGCGUCUGCCGGAUGCUUGCAGCCUCUUGAUGCCAUCUCAGAACAAGGAACCAGGCAAGGCUAGUUCAGCCGGCCCGCAAUAAAAAGAAUUGCCACCUCGAGAUUCGAAUUGGGGUCGCCCCACGUGAGACAUUCGCUAGAUCUCAGUAGAGCCUCUUGUCUCUAUCCUGAACAAAUCCUCUUUUGCCACUGGCUGUUUUAAUUGUUAUUUGGCCAUUCGUGAAUGACACUGAUACAGUUAAACUGACUAACGUUUCUUACUAAGUUUACCUCCACCACAAAUAUGUAUAGCGUUUACCACUGGCCAUUUUAACAGCAUAUUAGCAUGCAAUAAGCUUUACUGGUAUCUACUAACUUACUGGAAUAGUCAUAAGAAUUGAUCAAUUGCUAGCGAGUCUGCCAAAGCAGUUUCAUUUCAUGGCAUAAGAACAUAUUUUUUUCUUUCAUGGCAAAACAACACUUUUUUCUCUUAUUGGUGAAUAACUUUUAUACAAUAACUAUAAAUAAAGGCGAUGAUGAACUUUUCCAUCAAGUGAAAAGACGAGAGAAUCGUGGAAUCUACAAGAAAUAAUUAAUAAAGGUUUUUGCUCUCAAUAGAUUCAAACUUAGGUCUUCCACAUGAGAGGCGCUGUCUUUAACCACUACACCACAGCAUUACAUGUUUCAGCAGUCGCUAGACUACAUUGAGGAUUAUGUUAAACUGACUAAAGUUUCUUAUUAAGUUUACCUCCACCAUCGUGUCUAUGAACUGUACUGCUUUUGCCACUGGCCGUUUUAACAGCUUAUUAGCCAGC